AUACAGAUAGGACUUAAAAUGUCGCGUGGACUUACUUCCAAUACGCUGAGUCGGAUCGUGCCAUCUCCGUCUUGGUCGAAGGCCUGAAACGCCCCUUUAGCAGGGUGAGUUCGUUCAACGUCGGCACGGGCGAGAGUGGAGGCGACAUAGGCCGCAAAGGCGGUGAAGAAAAUGGCUGCCGUACCUGCGUCAUUGACUGCGUUCCUCAUCUCGUAGCUGUCAAUGCUGCCCGACUGGUCGGGGUUGUAUUGCUUAAAGAUUCCCUGGAAUGGAAGAGUGUUCAAAAGUGGCGGAACUCUUGAAGGUUAAGGCGACUCGUCCCGUCCAUCUGAGCCCGUUCAGUUAAGGUCAAGAGGAAAUGAAGCAGCCGCUGGCAAAUGAAGGUGAAACAACCCAGAUGCAACAUUUGGCACAUUGUAAGUGUUUAUGAAAUUCGUUUGAAAUUUUUGAUAUUCUAUGUUAGUUUUUUUUUUUUUUUUUUUUAA